rnacentral:lncRNA from 1 species
ACAUUUAGACAAUGGAAUUUCUGAUGUCAAAGAAGACGGAACUGUGCCAGUGGUUAUCAACAGACCCUGAGUAUAUCAUUGAAAAGUGUGAGGAUAUUUGAUCAGUUGAACAAGGAAAAGCUGUUUCCAGCCAAGCCACUGCUGCGGAGAAGAUGUUCCUUCUUUUGGAUGAAAUCAUGAAAAAGGGGGAGGUUGCAUGUGAGGCGUUCAAUGAGAUUCUGCAGAAAGAGAAGGCACAUUAUCCAGGACUUCAACAGCAUUUCAGCAAGAACACACAAGUGUCAUCCAGCCCAACGGUUUACGCGGAUUGCAACAGCACUGUUGAUUCCCGAAUAGUUACCAGCAACCGAAUUAAAAAGGACUUGAUCAUACAUAAAACCAUCCAAGCAGGAGGGGUGAAUCCAUCUGGAGUGAACCUCAGCCAACCACCCUCAAAUGCAAAUGUGGUUGCACUCAACAACAGUCAUAUCUCUGCUGACAUGAUAAUGGACUGUGACAUCGAUGGCAGCCUCAAUUUGUCUUCGACACAGGCCCCACCUCCAGCCCCAGUCCAUCAAGCCUCACAGUGUCCAGGUAAACUAUUUAGGCAAGUUUUGUCUUCACAGGUCUCAACCUGA